UACGUAGGGUGCAAGCGUUAAUCGGAAUUACUGGGCGUAAAGCGUGCGCAGGCGGUUAUGUAAGACAGAUGUGAAAUGCCCGGGCUCAACCUGGGAACUGCAUUUGUGACUGCAUGGCUAGAGUGUGUCAGAGGGGGGUAGAAUUCCACGUGUAGCAGUGAAAUGCGUAGAUAUGUGGAGGAAUACCGAUGGCGAAGGCAGCCCCCUGGGAUAACACUGACGCUCAUGCACGAAAGCGUGGGGAGCAAACAGG
rnacentral:rRNA from 1 species